rnacentral:rRNA from 1 species
ACCAGCACGUUAUGGUGGGCGACUCUAAGGAGACUGCCGGUGACAAACCGGAGGAAGGUGGGGGAUGACGUCAAGUCAUCAUGGCCCUUACGGCCUGGGCUACACACGUGCUACAAUGGUCGGUACAAAGGGUUGCCAAGCCGCGAGGUGGAGCUAAUCCCAUAAAACCGAUCGUAGUCCGGAUCGCAGUCUGCAACUCGACUGCGUGAAGUCGGAAUCGCUAGUAAUCGUGAAUCAGAAUGUCACGGUGAAUACGUUCCCGGGCCUU